UUCGGUGUCUAUUGCGGCAGGGUCCACCUCUUCCCAUCCCGAACAGAGAAGUUAAGACUGCCCGCGCUGAUGGUACUGCCGGCUCACCGGUGGGAGAGUAAGUUGACGCCACUU
rnacentral:rRNA from 1 species